rnacentral:rRNA from 1 species
CAACCGCCGCGGUAAUACCGGCGGCCCGAGUGGCGGUCACUAUUAUUGGGCUUAAAGCGUCCGUAGCCGGGUUGGGAAGUCCUCCGGGAAAUCUGGCCGCUUAACGGUCAGAAUGCCGGAGGAUACUCCCAGCCUAGGGAGCGGGAGAGGCCGAGGGGAUUCCCGGGGUAGGGGUGAAAUCCUAUAAUCCCGGGAGGACCACCUGUGGCGAAGGCGCUCGGCUGGAACGCGUCCGACGGUGAGGGACGAAGGCCAGGGGAGCAAACCGGAUUAGAUACCCGGGUAGUCCUGGCUGUAAACGAUGCGGACUUUGUGUCGGACAAGCUAUGAGCUUGUCCGGUGCCGGAGGGAAACCGUUAAGUCCGCCGCCUGGGGAGUACGGCCGCAAGGCUGAAACUUAAAGGAAUUGGCGGG